rnacentral:tRNA from 2 species
UUGGGUAUAGGUUAUUAGACUAUUAGCUUUCAAAGCUAAGUGUAAUUAUUUGUUUGUCCAAG